GGGUUUGAUCCUGGCUCAGAACGAACGCUGGCGGCAUGCCUAACACAUGCAAGUCGAACGAGACCUUCGGGUCUAGUGGCGCACGGGUGCGUAACGCGUGGGAAUCUGCCCUUGGGUUCGGAAUAACUCGCCGAAAGGCGUGCUAAUACCGGAUGAUGUCGCAAGACCAAAGAUUUAUCGCCCAGGGAUGAGCCCGCGUAGGAUUAGCUAGUUGGUGGGGUAAAGGCCUACCAAGGCGACGAUCCUUAGCUGGUCUGAGAGGAUGAUCAGCCACACUGGGACUGAGACACGGCCCAGACUCCUACGGGAGGCAGCAGUGGGGAAUAUUGGACAAUGGGCGAAAGCCUGAUCCAGCAAUGCCGCGUGAGUGAUGAAGGCCUUAGGGUUGUAAAGCUCUUUUACCCGGGAUGAUAAUGACAGUACCGGGAGAAUAAGCCCCGGCUAACUCCGUGCCAGCAGCCGCGGUAAUACGGAGGGGGCUAGCGUUGUUCGGAAUUACUGGGCGUAAAGCGCACGUAGGCGGUUACUCAAGUCAGAGGUGAAAGCCCGGAGCUUAACUCCGGAAUUGCCUUUGAAACUAGGUAACUUGAAUCCGGGAGAGGUGAGUGGAAUUCCGAGUGUANAGGUGAAAUUCGUANAUAUUCGGAAGAACACCANUGGCGAANGCGGCUCACUGNACCGGUAUUGAC
rnacentral:rRNA from 1 species